rnacentral:rRNA from 1 species
AUUGAACGCUGGCGGCAGGCCUAACACAUGCAAGUCGAACGAGUGGCGGACGGGUGAGUAAUGUCUGGGAAACUGCCCGAUGGAGGGGGAUAACUACUGGAAACGGUAGCUAAUACCGCAUACCAUCGGAUGUGCCCAGAUGGGAUUAGCUUUUAGGUGAGGUAACGGCUCACCUAGGCGACGAUCCCUAGCUGGUCUGAGAGGAUGACCAGCUACACUGGAACUGAGACACGGGCCAGACGCCUACGGGAGGAAGCAGUGGGGAAUAGUGCAGAAUGGGGGCAAUCCUGAUGCAGCCAUGCCGCGGGUAUGAAGAAGGCCUUCGGGUUGUAAAGUACUUGCAGCGGGGAGGCGUUACCCGCAGAAGAAGCACCGGCUAACUCCGUGCCAGCAGCCGCGGUAAUAC